rnacentral:rRNA from 1 species
GCCUAACACAUGCAAGUCGAACAAAGCUCCUUWUCUUCGGACGAGGAGUCUUAGUGGCGAACGGGUGAGUAACGCGUGGGUGACCUGCCCCGAAGUGUGGGAUACCAGUCCGAAAGGACUGCUAAUACUGCAUAACAUCCAGGAGAUUAGAACCUGCUGGAUUAAAGGAUUUUUUCGCUUCGGGAGGGGCCUGCGUCCCAUCAGCUAGUUGGUAAGGUAAUGGCUUACCAAGGCGAUGACGGGUAGGGGACCUGAGAGGGUGACCCCCCACAAUGGAACUGAAACACGGUCCAUACACCUACGGGUGGCAGCAGUAGGGAAUAUUAGUAAUGGGCGAAAGCCUGAACUAGCAACGCCCGCCGUGUGCGAAGAAGGCCUUCGGGUUGUAAAGCACUUUUUGAGAAGGACGAAGGAAGGACGGUACUCUCAGAAUAAGUCUCGGCUAACUACCGUGCCAGCAGCCGCCGGUAAUACA